CGGACGGGUGAGUAACACGUGGGUACCUACCUUGAGGUGAGGAAUACCGGCGAGAAAUCGCCGACAAGACCGCAUAGCUUUCUUCGCAAGAGAAAGAAAGCCGCUUCGGCGGCGCCCCAAGAUGGGCCUGCGCCCGAUUAGCUAGUUGGUGGGGUAAAAGCCUACCAAGGCGACGAUCGGUAGCUGGUCUGAGAGGAUGAUCAGCCACACUGGGAUUGAGAACGGCCCAG
rnacentral:rRNA from 1 species